AGAAGAUCAGGUCUACCAGUCUGUCUUGAAAUCAGACACUAGGACGUUCAACUCGUCCAUCUUCUU
rnacentral:tRNA from 1 species